rnacentral:rRNA from 1 species
AUACGUAGGGCGCGAGCGUUGUUCGGAAUUACUGGGCGUAAAGCGCGUGUAGGUGGCCAGGUAAGUCAGGUGUGAAAGCCCUCGGCUCAACCGGGGAAGUGCACCUGAAACUGCCUGGCUAGAGGGCGGCAGAGGGAGGUGGAAUUCCUGGUGUAGAGGUGAAAUUCGUAGAUAUCGGGAGGAAUACCGGUGGCGAAGGCGGCCUCCUGGACCGUUCCUGACACUGAGACGCGAAAGCGUGGGGAGCAAACAGGAUUAGAAACCCUAGUAGUCC